rnacentral:lncRNA from 13 species
CACUCACCAUGAAAAGAACAGCCUGUACAACAUUAUAAAACAUAUCAUUAUGUAGACCCACUCACCAUGAAAAGAACAGCCUGUACAACAGUAUAAAACAUAUCAUUAUGUAGACCCACUCACCAUGAAAAGAACAGCCUGUACAACAGUAUAAAACAUAUCAUUAUGUAGACCCACUCACCAUGAAAAGAACAGCCUGUACAACAGUAUAAAACAUAUAAUUAUGUAGACCCACUCACCAUGAAAAGAACAGCCUGUACAACUGUAUAAAACAUAUCAUUAUGUAGACCCACUCCAAUUGAAAAGAACAGCCUGUACAACAGUAUAAAACAUAUCAUUAUGUAGACCCACUCACCAUGAAAAAAACAGCCUGUAAAACAGUAUAAAACAUAUCAUUAUGUAGACCCACUCACAAUGAAAAGAACAGCCUGUACAACAGUAUAAAACAUAUCAUUAUGUAGACCCACUCACCAUGAAAAGAACAGCCUGUACAACUGUAUAAAACAUAUCAUUAUGUAGACCCACUCCAAUUGAAAAGAACAGCCUGUACAACAGUAUAAAACAUAUCAUUAUGUAGACCCACUCACAAUGAAAAGAACAGCCUGUACAACAGUAUAAAACAUAUCAUUAUGUAGACCCACUCACCAUGAAAAGAACAGCCUGUACAACAGUAUAAAACAUAUCAUUAUGUAGACCCACUCACCAUGAAAAGAACNNNNNNNNNNAACAGUAUAAAACAUAUCAUUAUGUAGACUCACUCACCAUGAAAAGAACAGCCUGUACAACAGUAUAAAACAUAUCAUUAUGUAGACCCACUCACCAUGAAAAGAACAGCCUGUAAAACAGUAUAAAACAUAUCAUUAUGGUAGACCCACUCACCAUGAAAAGAACACACUGUACAACAGUAUAAAACAUAUCAUUAUGUAGACCCACUCACCAUGAAAAGAACAGCCUGUACAACAGUAUAAAACAUAUCAUUAUGUAGACUCACUCACCAUGAAAAGAACAGCCUGUACAACAGUAUAAAACAUAUCAUUAUGUAGACCCACUCACCAUGAAAAGAACAGCCUGUAAAACAGUAUAAAACAUAUCAUUAUGUAGACCCACUCACCAUGAAAAGAACAGCCUGUACAACAGUAUAAAACAUAUCAUUAUGUAGACCCACUCACCAUGAAAAGAACAACCUGUACAACAGUAUAAAACAUAUCAUUAUGUAGACCCACUCACAAUGAAAAGAACAGCCUAUACA